AUUUCCCUAUUCCUCGCCGCUUCUCCCCCCUUCUCCUCCCCACGAUCUCCAUGACUACAGUUGCGAAUUAGUUUGCAAAAAGUAUGAAACUGCUUCCUUUUUGCAAUCGAUUGAUCAUCACCUUAUUUUUACGGUUUCAUCUUCUUUGCUAAUUAGUUUUUUAAAUUCUUCACCUCCGACCGGUUACUUUCUCGACGACCAACUUUACUCUAUGUACUAUUCUACCACUUUUUUAUCCUCUUUCUCUUUUUUUUUUUUCCUCUUUCUCUUUUCAAAUCAGAAUUCCUCAUCAAUUACGAGUGAGAAGAGAUAGAAAACAGAGUAAUUCUGAAAACACGAUGUCAAACACGAGAACAUAACAGAGUGGAUUGCGCACCGCCAUGAUGAAACCCAAGCACAAGAGUGAUUCUGGUUUUCGAAAUCAAACCCUUCACGCCACAUCUAUUUUUGAGUAUUGAUCAUGUUGUAAUACAUCAUUAUACAUGGUUUGGUGGGAAACAUUUUCGGUUGAAGAACAUAUGAAUUAUUUCAAUGGAGCAAAUCAUGACGAACUCAAGCAACAAAGUUAGACAUAAGAACUCUUGGAGAAAGUUACAUGGGAAGAAACAACAAAACAGAAGAAUUGUGCAUAAGAUCUACAGCGUCAAGGUUCUCAAACAUUUUUGUAUCAAACCGUUGAAUCUGGUUCGAAUUGUGAAAUCUCUAGACCAUCGACCAUGUUUCCGAUCACAGACACAAUUGUUUCUUUUCAUACUGGCCAAGAUUCGUGGGUAAUAUUAAUAUGGGAGAAGUCCAAAACUGAAUUUUGCCGGAAGAAAAACAAAACAACUUUACCGGAAGAGCUUAGAUAAUGCCGAGAUUUUUACACUUUUACUUUUACACGUGUAUUUAUUCUCCUCAUCCCACCUAAUUAUAUUAGCUGUCUUUUUUUUUCUCCCUCUGUUAAACGUUUUUCCAGAAAAUCUAAGUUUUUUU